rnacentral:lncRNA from 1 species
AAAACUAUAUCAAACAUCUAUCAGAAAAAUGUAUUGCUUUCUAAUUUUUUUCUAAGGAUAUAUGUAUUCACACAAACAUACUAUUCAGAAUUUGUUGUUGUUCAUAAUACAACGUUCAAAAAAAAUAACUAUAUGGUUAACAUGUGAAAAUAAAAAUGGCUCCGGCGUAGCGCGGAUUAACUCCUAGUCUAUACUAAUAAAAUGAACCUUUUGAGGCUCCAUAGAGCGUCCACAUCAGCAUAGAAUCAUUAUUCGAAGGGAAGUCACGUGGCAUCAUUACUAUUAUUACUUUUUUACAUUAAAUCACUUUAUUACCAUUUAAAUAUAUAAAUAUAUAACAUACAAAAUAUAAGUAAAUAUCGUUUCAAAUAUAUAAAUAUAUAACAUACGAAAUAUAAGUAAAUGUAAAUUUAAAUUUGUAAAUAUAUAAUAUACAAAAAAAUAAUAAUAAGUAAAUACACAAUUCAAAAAAAAAUGGAAAUACUACAUUAAAACAUCUAUAUUAAAAUGUAAAAAUUAAAUAUAAGUAAAUACACAUUUAAAUAUGUAAAUGUAUAAUAUAUGAAAAAAUAAGUAAGUACAUGGCAUAAAAUAUAGUUUUACAUUUUAAUAUUACUAAUUUUCGAAAAUUAUAAAUAAUAUGUAAACAUACAGCAUAAAAAAUGGAAAAACUACAUUAAACAUAUGUAAGAUUACCAUUUUUCACUUAAAAAAAGACGGCUUAUCUCCAUAAUGUAACAUUACCGUUUUAUAAAAAAAACAAAAAAACAUUUUAUAUAAUUUUGAAAAUAAUAAAUAUAUGAAAAUAUACAACAUAAAAAAUGGAAAUACUACAUUAAACAUAUGUAAGAUUACCAUUUUACAUUUUUAUUUUUAAAAAAUAAUAUGUAAACAUACAACAUAAAAAAUGGAAAAACUACAUUAAAAAUAUGUAAGAUUACUAUUUUUCACUAAAAAAACGGCUUAUCUCCAAAAUGCAACAUUACUAUUUUGUAAAAAAAAACAUUAUAUAUAAUUUCGAAAAUAAUAAAUAAUAUGUAAACAUACAACAUAAAAAAAUAGAAAUACCACAUUAAACAUAUGUAAGAUUACCAUUUUACAUUUAAAAAUAACAAUAAUAUGUAAACAUACAACAUAACAAAAAUGAAAAAAGUACAUUAAACAUAUGUAAGAUUAUCAUUUUUCACUAAAAAAAUGGCUUAUCUCCAUAAUAUAACCUUACCAUUUUAUAAAAAAAGAAAAAAAACAUAAAAUAACUAUUUGACUAUUUGUCCAAGUUUUUCUAUUAAACAUUGCUGUUUUACAUUAAAAAUGGAAAAAUAUAUUAAGAUUUAAACAUCUCUCUUAAAAUAUAAAAUAUAGAUAUUAACUAAACAUAAAGUAUAAGAAAGAGAUAUACUCAAUACAUAGAAAAAUAAAUAAUAAGUAAAUAUUAUAAAUAUAUAAAUAUACGAAUUAUAUAUACAAUAAUAAGUAAAUGCACAAUUUUUAAAAAAAUGGAAAGAGUACAUUAAAUAUUAAACAUCUAUCUUAAAAUGUAAAAUAUCGAUAUUAAGUAAAUAGAAAGUAUAAGAAAAAGAAAUACACA